UUGCAGCCCAAUUGCACGAGCUCAGUUGCCCUUUGUUCUGCCGUUCCGGGCUCCGGCUUGAAGCGGCCGACAAAAUUAGGCCCAAUGCCUCAGCCUGCGCACAAGCGCGCGAUCGGGAUGGGGACGGAAGCCCGGCACCGGGAGACGUGGUGGUGGCCGGCGGCCGCGUCGUGAUUGCUGCUCGGUGCCGGCGAUCGCCGCCAUCCACUCCUCAGCGGGUGCCCAUGCCGAAUGGUCUAGUGCUCGGUGCUACGCGCAGGAAGCCGCGGAGUCCCAUCGAGCGCGCAACGCCCUGGGCGUCGCUCUCCCGGAGAUGCCCGCCUUGACGCGCGUGCAUGAGCGCUCGGUACGACGGUGACGCCCAAGCUCCGCGGGCGAAGGCGACGCCCACCUUUGUUCGGGCGCAGGAGGAAGGAGACGUACACUCGCGGGAUUCGCGAGGCGAAGCGGUGCGAGUUCAGGGUCACCACGCAUGCACACCACGUGUUCGAACGAAUGCCAGAUCCAAGGGGUGGCCGUUAGUUGACGCUCCCUAAGUUUUCUCCUUCUCUAUUGUAUCAUGCACUUGAGAUUGAGAGCUCUACUUGUUGUGUGUUGCCGUAUAGUCAGCAGCAAUCUUUUGCUUUAAAGACUAAAAAGCUUUGGCUAUGGCAAGGAGCUAAGGUCCUCCACCACCAGUUUUGAACAUUUAUCUGAAGUGCCAGGCAGAGGAGUUGGAGCUUGCAAUGGAUAGGAUGAAGGACUGCACAUCCCGCUCGGAGUUGGGUGAAGGAUGGCGCUGGCAGGCAAGUCAACCACCAGCGGCAGGGGGCACGUGUGCCGCGCCGCUUUCGGCCGCGCCAACGCCCCGCGCGCCAGGGUGCCUGCAUGCAUUGCGCGGCUCCGUAACUCCGCGCGUACCUUGGACGGGACAAUUCGACAAAGGGCCGGAGUAAGAAAAUACUGCUGCGUCUGAUGUACUCUGCUCUGCGUUUUGGUCUAUCAGGCAGGCCCGGACGGCCGGAGCGGCUCCCGGACAAAGCCUCCGGAUGACGUAGCCGUCGGCAGCCGCGUUGCGGAUGUGACGUCGUUUCUUCAAGUUGUGCUUGCCGCUACAGUACUGCUAAUAAUUUCUUCCAAAUUUACUAUACUAGUACUACAGUUCCACUGAUAUUGAUAUUGACUAUGUACCAGUAUUAUUUCAGGGAAAUGAAAAAGGCCAGUAUUAUUUCAGGGAAAUGAAAAAGGCCCUAUUUGACUUGAUUGAUGUACAUGAUACACCUGCAGGUCGGUUGGAGGAUUUAGAGAUAGGUAAAAGUAAACGUGAUUCUCUUGAUUGUUCUUAAACUUCAAGAUGGUGUGGACAGUAGAUUAAAUCGCACCAGAGAUUAUUUUCUCUUUCUAGAUAA